AACGAACGCUGGCGGCAGGCCUAACACAUGCAAGUCGAGCGAGGACUUCGGUUCUAGCGGCGGACGGGUGAGUAACGCGUGGGAAUGUGCCCUUCUCUACGGAAUAGCCCUGGGAAACUGGGAGUAAUACCGUAUACGCCCUUUUGGGGAAAGAUUUAUCGGAGAAGGAUCAGCCCGCGUUGGAUUAGGUAGUUGGUGGGGUAAUGGCCUACCAAGCCGACGAUCCAUAGCUGGUUUGAGAGGAUGAUCAGCCACACUGGGACUGAGACACGGCCCAGACUCCUACGGGAGGGAGCAGUGGGGAAUCUUAGACGAUGGGGGCAACUCUGAUCUAGCCAUGCCGCGUGAGUGAUGAAGGCCUUAGGGUUGUAAAGCUCUUUCAGCUGGGAAGAUAAUGACGGUACCAGCAGAAGAAGCCCCGGCUAACUCCGUG
rnacentral:rRNA from 1 species